CAGAACGAACGCUGGCGGCGUGCUUAACACAUGCAAGUCGAACGCGAAAGGGACUUCGGUCCUGAGUAAAGUGGCGCACGGGUGAGUAACGCGUAGAUAACCUGUCUUCAUGUCUGGAAUAAUACGCCGAAAGGGGCACUAAUACCGGAUAUUCUUGCUUUUCAUAAGUUAUGCAAGCAAAGGUGGCCUCUGCAUAUGCUACUGCAUGAAGAGGGGUCUGCGUACCAUUAGCUAGUAGGUGGGGUAAUGGCCUACCUAGGCGACGAUGGUUAGCGGGUCUGAGAGGAUGAUCCGCCACACUGGCACUGGAACACGGGCCAGACUCCUACGGGAGGCAGCAGUGAGGAAUAUUGCGCAAGUGGGGAAACCCUGACGCAGCGACGCCGCGUGAGUGAAGGAAGGCCUUCGGGUCGUAAAGCUCUGUCAAGAGGAAAGAAGUGUACAAUGGCUAAUACCUGUUGUAUUUGACGGUACCUCUAAAGGAAGCACCGGCUAACUCCGUGCCAGCCGCAGC
rnacentral:rRNA from 1 species